rnacentral:lncRNA from 1 species
AUUUGUCAUGCUCCUUCCAUUUUAAAGUUGCUUAGUACCCCCUCUCUUUCUUCCAGGUAAAAUAUGCAUUUGUAAAGGUAGAAGAGAUAUGAGUAUUAUUACAUCGUUAUAUACAUUCUCUAAUAUAAGAUAGGAUAUUUCAAUUUUAUUGCAGUAAAUUUAUGGCAAUAAAUUUACAUUUAUAUCUUUUAUUUACAUUAUAUCCUUUGCAUAAAAUCAGUAUUAGCUAGGGCUGCAUAGCAAAAUAACAAAGACUGGAUGGCUUAAGCAACAGAAAUUUAUUUUCUCAUAGUUCUGGAGGAAAGAAAUCCAAGAUCACGGUGCUAGCAGGGUUGGAUUCUUCUGAGGCCUCUUUCACUUGCAGAUGAUCAACCUUUUGCUGUGUCCGCAUGAGGCCUUUUUUUCUAUACAUUUUAGGGUCUGUGGUAUUUUUAGAUUAUUUAGUAUUUUCUAUGCAUAUACACAAGUCAUCUGUAAAUAAAUAUAGUUUUAUUUGUUUCCAAUCUGAUUUUUUUAUUUAUUGCAGUGGCU